ACCAAUAAACAACUGAUUGAGAUUUAGAAGAUAUUGUAUUGAUGUAUGUACUAUAUGAUUAAUUAUUCUCUUCAUUUUUCUCGCCUUUCUUUCCUUCUAUUUUAAAUAUAUAAACUUUGCUAAUCCUCUGUGGCCCAAAUGAGCCUUGCAAAAGAAAUAAACCUGCCUAGAUGGAUAACCUAAGCACAAAAUUAUACAAUUUUUGCAGGCGAAGUAAACCAGAAAAAUGGGAUGGGCAUGUUUAUGUUGGCUGAAAUAAGAUGCAUUAACUUACUUUCAAGCAGGUUAAUAUAUUGGUUACUAUGUAGGUUAUUUACAAACCAGCGGCAGUCACUAAGCUUAUUAUAAAAGCCGGCUUCAAUCAGAGAUUUAAGCAUUGAAUUUGGGGGGAGGGGUCGAAUCCUACUUUUUCCUUCCUCGUAUGCUUCAUUUAAAUUCACUCAAUUAGCUAAAAGCCACAGGAACAAUGACAAAGAGCAUAUCCAUUUUAGAAAGAUAGUGGAAGACAUUUUUAUGCUAAUUUUUUCUUAUUCUAUAUAUGGAGAAAAUGGGAGGGGGAAAAAAGCCCUUUCAAAGAAACUUUCUAGAUCUCCGAUUACUGAAGAAUUUUUAGCAGCACUGUCCAAGCGUGGAGACCCUCUGAGGGCAAAGCCAGAAUGAAUUUGCCAAAUCAGAAUUUCUCCUGUAGUAUGUGAUACUCUAAACACCACCCACCUAUAAAGGAGUAGUUUGGAGAAUAGCCAGUAAUCUAUAUAUAGUUUAAAAAUAUGACAAGAGAAAAAAUUGGGUGCUGGGCCAAAGUGCAUCAUAACCUUAAUAUCCCCUCAAAAUACCUUACGCAUCAUUCCUUUUUAAUCACUUAACAUGACUAUUUUUUUAAAUCUAAAGAUUUUCUUUAAGCUGGAGGAGAACCAAAAACUUUAAUGGUAAUUAGAUUUUCUCAUACCACAAUAUGGCAAUAUUAGCACCUGAAAGGUGGUUAGCCUAUUUGUUACACAGAAUACAUUUGGUAAUGAAAGAGCCCUUUUUAGACAUAUUUAAGGUAACUUCAGAAGCAAACAUGGUUUGUGGAUUAUGAACACUUAUGCUUGUUUUGCCAGAUCAACAGUAAUCUAUAUGAAAACAAGUCUGUCAAUAAGAAGCUAGUUUCAGACAACACUGGGGAAACUACCUCAAGUCAGCUUGCUGAUGCUGCCGAUUCUGAUUUUCGAAUAAUGCUACCUCCCUGCCGGUUAUCUUUUGUGUUUCAUUAUGUGGAAAUUUGAAGCAAGUAGCCUCCCCAGCUCUACAUAGACCAAAAGAAAAUCACUUGAAUACAUACACUGAUGCAGAAGGCCAUUCAGUACUGUCAGUUACUACCCAGCGCUUGCAUCAAGAAGAAAGGAUGAGAUUUUUGAACUCUCAUACAUCAUAAUUGGUGUGAUUUCAGAGAUGUAAGAUCCCAAAGACGUUCACAAGAAGAGAUUGUUACCCCAAGUUUUAUGUGACUCUAAUGAAAACAAAACAAUGGAUAAAGGAGUUAAUAACACAUACAUUUCAAUAGAAAUUUCUGUAUAUGUAACAUAAUCAUUUAGUCCUCUUUACACUAGCAAGGGUUGAAUUCCUAUACUUGAAUUUUUUUCACCUGCAUUUUCAUGUGUAGCUAUUGAUAAAUUAAGAAUUUUUAAAAUUUCUUGUUUUUUACCACCUUUGGUUGCUCUGUAUUUUCAAUACCCUGUGACAUUCAUGACCUACAUAUCUGCAUACUUCUGAUGUGUUUAUCUGAUUUUCCAUUAAGAAGUAAAUUUCCAUCAAGCAGACAUACUAUACAUACCUAGCACAUUAUUUGGAUAGCUGGAAGUAAAAGUUAUGCCGAUGAAACAAACCAAUUAUUGUUUCCUAGUAAAAUGAUACUUGAUAAAAUUUUACACUGAUUUUUUUUUCUCUUUGAGAUCUAGUUCACAUGAUACUUAUCAGGACACUAGCUAACAGAUCUCAUGUUGAGUUGAUUCAGAAACUGUUGAAUUGUUGCACAGCCCAUGCUCCUAAUUGGUAAUAUUUAUGGAGAAAUCUACAUUUUGUGAAAGAGAAAUAGGUUGGAAUUCCAAUUAAAUAUUUUUGAGCAUCCUCCUUUGUUUUGACUCUAUUAAAAUUAAAAAUACUAUAGUUGAAUAGUAAAUUGGUAUGCUAAAACAAUCAUAAUGGGGGAAAAAAGCUGGCAUAAGAGCACUUAUCUUAAAGUAAAAAUAGUCGGGAAAAUAGAUUCAUCAAAUGCACCUAAUGGAAAUACCCUUAACUGCUUGUAAAACAAAUUCACAAUGACUCUAAAUUAAAAUGUGGUUUAUGAUCUGUAUUUUUAAAAUCCCCAUUAAUCUAAAAAUGUUGACAUUAAUGAAAGAUCUUCAAGAUUCAUGUUUUUUUAUUUUUAUUUUUUAAUAUUAACUUGGUGUGAAAAACUUUUCAUGAUAAUGAGAUAAGCAUAUGAGUGAGUUGGUAAUAUUUAUAUAGAACUCAUAGACUUAAUUUUAGGCAAUAUCUUCAGCUUUUUCUCCACAUGUGUUCAAAUCCAUUGACUGGUUUGCUUACUUUAAAAGAUGACUGACAUUAAAAACUUUAAAGACUGACUUUCUGCAUUACUGUAGAGACCAAAAGGAAGAGGAAAAGUAGUUUCUGGGUUGUCUGAAGAUCAACUCCAAACUAAUCAAUAAUCAUCUCCUGUUAGUGAAAGAGUAAUUGGUUUUUAGAAGUUGUCCAUCAGUUCUGUACCAAAGUGCUGCUGCUUGGGAUGUUUUGGGGAAAUAAGACGCAAAAACCCACAACAGAACUACUAUGCAUGUCAGUUCCAAUUUAGAGAGAGAGAAAAAAGAACUCCAACUCUAAUUUGAUUUUGAGCAAUUCUGAAAAUAUUGACAAGAAUGUCUUUUCCUCUCUAACAAAAAUAUUUGAGAUAUAAUAACAAUAUGUAUGUACUCCCCAGUAUAUUGUAGUACCAAGAUUUAAGAUUUAAUUAGUUCAUGUUUAGUAAUUCAUAAUUAUAACUCACCAUAUAAGUAAUUACUAUGCAUUCCGAAGUAAUACUUUAAACUUAUCUUAUGCGAGAUUUCUGUGCAUCAAUACAUUAGUUAGGAACACGGAAGCACAGUGAAGCAGCAACACUGCACAACAGCUCAUGGAAGCAUUCUUGUGCAGAUGAAUUCUAGACGAGAAGCUUCUCUGAGUCCAUAAAAUAGAUUCGUUGGAUCCCAACUGUAAAUUCAAUUUUGUAAUCAGCAAAUCAGUCUUUCUUAAACCAUCUGAAAAAUAUUGCUAAAUAUCUAAAUUUUCAUCUCUAGACUAGUAGAAAUUAAAUAGUAUUGGUAGCUGCUUCUUUCCUGCUUAGGCAGUAAGAGGAAUCUUUCCUAUUUACCAAUUAACCUGAUUACUUCCUCUUUGCUUUAAAAGGGAAAUCAGUGUUUAAGUUUCACCUGUACACAUACUUCCAUACCCUGACUGCUUUUAUUUACAGCUUGUGUGUUUGCAAUAUUGCAAACUUUGUGGUCUUUGCAAUAAAAUAGGUAGCUAUUAUGGUUUUGCAUAUUCUCAUUUGAAAUAAAGUUAUUAUUGUUCCCUCUUUUUAGAAAAAAAUUAAGUCAGCACUUCUUUAAUGUUUAGGACCUUUAAGUUCUUAUUUGAAUGUCUUGAUUUCAACUCUGUUUUGAUGUUUCUUUCUCUUUAUAGUAUGUCACGCAAAUUUUUCUCAUUUAAUUUGUGUCCCAUUAGAGUAUUUCAAAGGUAAAUGCAAACUAAGAUUUUAAAGAAACAUGUGAAAGAAAAACUUUGAUUUAUAUUAUGAAGUCAAGGAAGACUUAUACAAGAAAAAAACCUCUAGUGGGAUAAUCAAGUCUUUCCAAUUCCAAUAUGAACAGAAGAAGAGCAGAACCAAGUUGGCAAAUUUAUGGUGAGGUAGCAGGACCUAAAUGAGAGUUAUAGAGAAACAUUUUCCAGGAAAAAAUGAAAUCAUUUGGAAUGAUAAAAAUCUUAAACACUGUACCAAAUGCUAUUGAUGUGUUGAAAAAAAUAAAAUUGGAGUUUACCAUAGUAUAAUUUUAUCCUGCUAAUUCCACAGGAAACACUAAACACUUUAACACUCUAGAUAUUUUUGUCUAGCUACACCUUGUCUCAAGGAAACAUGAAUAAUUUAUAACUGUUUCUUGAAUAUAAGUAUUUUUGCCUCAAUUCACUGUCACUCUCUAAUCUGCUUAUUGUACGCCAACACAGUUAAUGCUACUAGUGGCUUUGUACCUUUUAGAGCUUUAUUAUGAAUCUUUCUAAUAAACAUUAAAUUAAUAUUAAAUUGGAAUUAUGUACAUUGUGCAAAAUAAUUCACAACCAAGCAAUAUUCAUAUUACAGGAUAAUUCAUUAUAUAUAUAUAUGAAUAUUACUUUGAGACUGAACAAAUAAUUACACUGUUGAAAAUAUUACUCUCAAGUCCUCUCUUCAGUUAAUAUAGUCAAUUCAUAAAAUUCUGCAGACAGUUGUACACAUGGUGUGUUAUCAAAGUACUUCAUACUCCAAAUGUGUCUAAAAGUAUUCCCAAUGCUUCUUUCAUUCUAGAAUGAUAAAGGAAGGAGCUUGAAAAGAGAGGAAAGUAAAGCCAACUUCCAAGGAUCUAAUUUAGAUCAACAUUGUCAUUCAGAAUGAGUAAUUUCAAAAUGAGAAUGUUCCACUCUGUGAUCUAAGUGAGAGGUUAUUAAAGAUUUACAGUUAGUCAAAUACCAGAGGAUUUUAAAUGUUAAAGGAGUUAAGUUUGUCUCAAUGGCCCAAGACUGCAGAAUUUCACACUACAUUGGCAAGGAAAUAUGUUUAAAAUUCAUACCUAAAGUAGCUUUUUAAAGGUUAAAAAUUACUCUGAUUCAUCUCAAGGUAGACUGACAAAAUGAUCCUGGCUUCAAAAUGAAAUGUAUUGGUUGACCUCAAAAAAUGUUUGGCAAGAUUCAUGAAUGUCAUCAACUCUUUAAUAGUAAGUAGAAGUCUUUGGGGAUAGAACUCAAAAUACAGUGUCCUCUUAUGCUGACCACUGCCUGGUUCUCUAGAGUAUUUUUUAAUGUCUUGAAUUUCAAAUUGUCACAUUCUCUUAUGUUUCGAAUGACAUUAUGAAUCAAGAAAGAUGAGGAAAAAACAUUUAAAGUUGGUUUUCAUGCCUCAUUUGAGAAUAACAUUUCCUUUACCAUCCCAAGUAAUAAAAUAUGAUAUUUCUUGAAACAGCUCUGGACAAUCAGAAUGUGUUCAUUUAUAAACGUCUUUGUAUAUUCUAACUAACACUGAUCUUUGCCUAUGGAAAAAAAAAUCAAGAAUUGUAGAGGAAAUCAGCUUGAUUUCCCUUCAUUUGGCUUCUGUGAAUGCACUGGAAAGUAGAAGGAUAAUUUGGAAAAGUUUAUCCACACUGUUUUCCCACUUGCCAAGCAUUAAAUCUAAUUCAAGAAAUAUCUUUUAAAAAGAUGAUAGUUUAUUUUAAAAACUAACAACUAAUUACACUAUUUCUCAUUGAUAAGAAAAAUCACUUUUUAGCAACAAGAAUAUAGCUAUUGCAGGCUUUGGUCUCUUACCAUUCUCAUAUUUACCCAUGGCAUUAAUAUUAUCGUAUACACCUACCAGC
ensembl:lncRNA